UGGCUCAGAACGAACGCUGGCGGCAGGCCUAACACAUGCAAGUCGAGCGGCCGUAGCAAUACGGCAGCGGCAGACGGGAGAGUAACACGUGGGAACGUGCCUUUCGGUUCGGAACAACCCAGGGAAACUUGGGCUAAUACCGGAUACGCCCUUACGGGGAAAGAUUUAUCGCCGAAAGAUCGGCCCGCGUCUGAUUAGCUAGUUGGUGGGGUAACGGCCCACCAAGGCGACGGUCAGUAGCUGGUCUGAGAGGAUGAUCAGCCUCACUGGGACUGAUGUCACGGCCCAGAGACAUACGGGAGGCAGCUUGUGGG
rnacentral:rRNA from 1 species